ensembl:snRNA U2 U2 spliceosomal RNA
AUUACUUAGUAACUGUAUAUUCAAUAUUUUAGAACAGGGAGUCGGCAAAGGAGCUUGCUCCAUCCACUCCACGCAUCGACCCAGUAUUGCAGUGCCUCUGGGAGCAGUGCACUUUCU